ACUUCAAAUUAUUGUCUUCAAGUAAUAUGAUUCCCCAAACAUAUUAUACCAACAUCAAUGAGGUUUCAAAAUGAGGAUCAUUUUCUCUUUGAAAAAAAGAUCUUACGAGUAUUUCUCUGAUUUCUUCGGACAACACUACUUCAAAUUCAUUGUCUGCGUAGCCCACACAUUCAUCUUCCUAGUAGCUGUAACCCUCAGCUGGACAUCCCCGGUACUGCCUAAAUUGAGCGGGACCAAGGAUAAUCCCUUGGGGAAUCCCAUUACACCAGACGAAAGUGACCUCAUUGGAUCCCUCUUGUACAUUGGUGCUGCCAUUGGACCUAUAUUAUUCAUACCUGCAGCUGAACAUUUUGGAAGAAAACACGUUUUACAAUUUCUAGCUUUUAUACCACUGUUUACUUAUGGAACAUUUUUGUUUGUUGAAGUAGUUGAGUUUUAUUUUGUUUGUAGAGUGUUGCAGGGUAUUUUUGUAGGUGCUACAAUGAGUGUUCAGUCUGUAUACGUUGCUGAGAUUUUAGCAGAAGAAGAUAGAGACUUCUAUAUGUCUCUGAGUACUACAUUUGGGUUUUCUGGAUUGAUUGUUGUAUACGCUGUAGCUCCUUUUGUGCCACUUAUCUACUUCAAUGGGUUUUUAACAAUGGUGAGUGCUGUUGUGGUAAUUUUAUUUAGCUUUGGAUGUCCAGAUACACCUUAUCAUUUGAUGAAAACUAGAGGACAAACUUCUACUAACGAACUGUUGAUGCAGCUUCGAAAAAACUUCAAGAUGAGGGAGGCUGACGAAAUAAAGAAUAUUAUCGAUACUGAGGUCAGAGGUUCAUAUUUUGAUUUAUUCAAUUCUUGGCGGAAUUUGAAUACGCUGACUAAGGCUACAGUGCCUCUUCUUCUUCAACAGUUUUCUGGAAUAUCGAUUUUACUGACCUACAGUCAGCUGAUUUUCGAAGAAACUGAGAUUGCUAUAGCACCUGCUAUCUGCUCAUUGAUUGUGGCUUGUUUUCAAGUUUCAACGAGUUUCUUCACACCUUUAUUGCUCAAAUCUGGAAAAUUCUCAUUGAGGGCGUUGCUUUUGUUUUGUCUUUCAGGUAUGGCGUUUAGUAAUCUCGUUUUGACUUUUUAUUUCCUGUUAUUGAGAGAUGUGGAGUUUUUGAAUUGGCUACCGCUUCUAGGAUUGAUUUUAUUCGUACCGUUUUACAACUGUGGUAUAGAUCCUAUACCUUGGAUGCUGCUGGGGCAGAUUUACCCCAAAAACUUGAGUUCAGUUGGUGCAGCUCUCUCCGCUAGUAUGUACUUCCUAGCAAGUUUUCCUUCCUUGUUUUUUUUCAGUAAGGUGAAUAUAGGUUUUUUGUUUUUAAGUUCGUCAUGUUUUUGUUGCCUUGGCAUUCCCUAUGUUCUCUUUUGUUUCACUGAACCUAAAAGAAUUUAGUUAUCGAAUAUAUGGGCUACUGUGUCGAUGACUAUCAAUUUGUUGAAUUUUGAUUGGUUAAAUUGUAAUGUGACUGAUAGCAAAUCAGAAUCGAGUCAAUUUUUUAUUAAUAAAGUGAUAUCAAGGACGAUUAGAAGUUUUCCUGCCUGUUUUCCUGCGGUUAUUUUCGGGUAUCCUUGUUAUUCAGGUAAGUAGCGUAGUGUGGAGUUAUAUUUUCUUCCUCUAGUUGUGGAGGAAGUGCCAGUUUCAACAGUUGUCGUUUGGAAAUUGUUGUUCUGAAAUGGCAAUUUGGGAAAAAUUCGCCAAAUAUUUUGGACCGCGCUAUUCUCUUUUUGUAGCAUGUUUGGUGCACGAAGUCUACUUCAACAUAUGUCUGAACGCAGCAUGGCCUUCACCAGUUCUGGCCAAACUAAACAGGUUAGAUCCGGAAGACAAUCCCUUAGGAAGAAGAGUAACAGACGAAGAAAGUGACCUUAUUGGUUCACUGUUCUUCGUUGGAGCAGCCAUAGGACCUUUAGUGAUCAUCGUACUUGUAGAAAAGUUUGGCAGGAAGAAUGUCCUUGACGGUCUGUCCCUCAUGAUACCAAUAGCCUACGUAGUCCUGACGUUCACUAACGAUAUCGACAUGUACUUCAUUUGCAGAACGGUCCUUGGUUUUUACAGCGGUGCUGCUCUGAGCAUACAACCUGUAUACCUCACAGAAAUCCUUCCUAAGGAAGAGAAAGACUUCUUGAUGUCUUUAGAAACAGUAUUCAACUUUAUGGGCAUCUUGUACGCUUAUGCUAUUGCUCCUGCCAUUCCCCUCUUUUAUUUCAACCUCUCAGUUGUUAUAUUCGCAAUCUUCAUCUUCGUUUUACAGGCUGUGGCUUGUCCUUCAAGUCCUUUCGACGUCAUGAAAUCCAGAGGAGUAGAAGAAACCAGAGCUGUCUUGCAAACUCUAAGAAAUAAAGAAGAUGUAAACGCUGAACUGGAAGAAAUUCGAAAUAUCGUCAUCACUGAUUCCAAGAAGUCUUACUUUGACAUAUUCAAGUCUGUAGACAAUUGGAAGGCUUUGAUGGUUGGUACUGUCCCUUUGAUUAUCCAGCAGUGGUGUGGUAUCCCCCUUCUAAUCACUUAUAGCCAGUUGAUCUUCAAUAAAACCAACAUCUCUAUCAGCUCUGACAUGUGCUCCAUCAUUGUAGUGGUCUUUCAAGUAUCUACAACUUUCCUAACGCCAGUUUUAUUAAAAUGCAAAACGUUUACAAGGAAAGGACUGGUGAUUUUAUGUCUUACCCUCUUAGGUUUGUGCAAUCUAGUCCUAGCCUUGUACUUCUUCUACGGGUUGACAAUCCCUGCCUUGAAUUGGCUUCCUAUGGUAGCUUUGAUAGCGUUUGUUAUCUCUUACAAUUGUGGAAUUGAUUCGAUCCCCUGGAUCAUUAUGGGUGAGAUCUACCCAACAAAGAUAAGUGCUGUUGGAUCAGCGAUAUCUACCAGUUUAUUCUUUGGUUCUAUAUUCCCUCUUUUGUAUUCUUUCAGAAAGGUUAAUAUUGGGUAUUUGUUUUUGACAUCUUUUACUGAUUGUGUUGUCGGAGUACUUUUCUUCGCUUUUGUUUAUGUUAAUUUGAAGAAGAGUUAUAGGAAGGGCCGGAAUCCAAAUUGUUGAAGGGUAGAUUUUCAGAUGAAUAAU